CAAACUCGGAGAUUAGAGCUAAUGGAGUCCAGGCGGAAUUUUCAAAUGUUCAACUUUUUAAAAAGGGUUAAACUCAGAUGACUAAAACAGAGCACAAGGAAAGAAAACAACCGGCAGGGGAUGCCGAACCUUUACACAGGAACAUGCGCGCGCGCACAAACAAACGUUUACACAUAAAAUGUCCCCACUGUGGUACAAAUAAAGGUAUAUCUUAUCAGAACAUGCUGCCAUCCAAUUCUAAAGCCCAAGUAAGUUCAAUCAUAUGAAAAACACAGUAUAAACAAUUUAGCAUUUUAUUUUAAUUAGCAUUUCAAAAAAAACUGCCACUGGUGACUUGCUUCACUUCGACAGGUGCCUUC